ACGCUCGACACCUACGGGGGGCAGCAGUGGGGAAUAUUGCACAAUGGGGGAAACCCUGAUGCGGCGACGCCGCGUGGAGGAAGAAGGUCUUCGGAUUGUAAACUCCUGUUGUUGGGGAAAAAGAGGAUGGUACCCAACAAGGAAGUGACGGCUAACUACGUGCCGGCAGCCGCGGUAAUCUGAGCGGGCUGGCAAGGC
rnacentral:rRNA from 1 species